rnacentral:rRNA from 1 species
AUUGAACGCUGGCGGCGUGCUUAACACAUGCAAGUCGAGCGGUAACAGGCGUAGCAAUACGUGCUGACGAGCGGCGAACGGGUGCGUAAUACAUGGGAAUCUGCCUAGUAGUGGGGAAUAACCCGGCGAAAGCCGGGCUAAUGCCGCAUACGAUCCACGGAUGAAAGCGGGGGACCUUCGGGCCUCGCGCUAUUGGAUGAGCCCAUGUCGGAUUAGCUAGNGGUGAGGUAACGGCUCACCAAGGCGACGAUCCGUAGCUGGUCUGAGAGGACGGCCAGCCACACUGGGACUGAGACACGGCCCAGACUCCUACGGGAGGCAGCAGUGGGGAAUCUUGCGCAAUGGGCGAAAGCCUGACGCAGCGACGCCGCGUGAGGGGAUGACGGCC